ACGGGAGGCAGCAGUCGGGAAUAUUGCGCAAUGGAGGAAACUCUGACGCAGUGACGCCGCGUGCAGGAAGAAGGUUUUCGGAUUGUAAACUGCUUUAGACAGGGAAGAAACAAGACAGUACCUGUAGAAUAAGCUCCGGCUAACUACGUGCCAGCAGCCGCGGUAAUACGUAGGGAGCGAGCGUUAUCCGGAUUUAUUGGGUGUAAAGGGUGCGUAGACGGGAAAAUAAGUUAGUUGUGAAAUCCCUCGGCUCAACUGAGGAACUGCAACUAAAACUAUUUUUCUUGAGUGUUGGAGAGGAAAGCGGAAUUCCUAGUGUAGCGGUGAAAUGCGUAGAUAUUAGGAGGAACACCAGUGGCGAAGGCGGCUUUCUGGACAAUAACUGACGUUGAGGCACGAAAGUGUGGGGAGCAAACAGGAUUAGAUACCCUGGUA
rnacentral:rRNA from 1 species